rnacentral:tRNA from 1 species
GAGGAGUUAGCUCAGUUGGUUAGAGCACUUAAUGUUACUCUGUCAAAUGUUCCAUACAUUAAGUUGUUGGUGAUAGAUAGAGUUACUUCGGUCUGUCAAACCAGUGGUCAUAGGUUCGAGUCCUAUACUCCUCU